rnacentral:rRNA from 1 species
UACGGAGGAUCCAAGCGUUAUCCGGAAUCAUUGGGUUUAAAGGGUCCGUAGGCGGUUUAAUAAGUCAGUGGUGAAAGCCCAUCGCUCAACGGUGGAACGGCCAUUGAUACUGUUAAACUUGAAUUAUCAGGAAGUAACUAGAAUAUGUAGUGUAGCGGUGAAAUGCUUAGAGAUUACAUGGAAUACCAAUUGCGAAGGCAGGUUACUACUAAUGGAUUGACGCUGAUGGACGAAAGCGUGGGGAUCAAACAGG